rnacentral:rRNA from 1 species
AGUGAACGCUGGCGGUAGGCCUAACACAUGCAAGUCGAACGGCAGCACAGUAAGAGCUUGCUCUUACGGGUGGCGAGUGGCGGACGGGUGAGGAAUACAUCGGAAUCUACUUUUUCGUGGGGGAUAACGUAGGGAAACUUACGCUAAUACCGCAUACGACCUACGGGUGAAAGCAGGGGAUCUUCGGACCUUGCGCGAUUGAAUGAGCCGAUGUCGGAUUAGCUAGUUGGCGGGGUAAAGGCCCACCAAGGCGACGAUCCGUAGCUGGUCUGAGAGGAUGAUCAGCCACACUGGAACUGAGACACGGUCCAGACUCCUACGGGAGGCAGCAGUGGGGAAUAUUGGACAAUGGGCGCAAGCCUGAUCCAGCCAUACCGCGUGGGUGAAGAAGGCCUUCGGGUUGUAAAGCCCUUUUGUCGGGAAAGAAAAGCAGCAGGUUAAUACCCCGCUGUUCUGACGGUACCCAAAGAACAAGCACCGGCUAACUUCGUG